rnacentral:tRNA from 1 species
CAGGGAGACAACAAAAUGUUUAAUAUUAUUAUUUUGUCACCUUAGGUCGAUCGGUAUCUCACGUUCUUAAUUUAUUAAGAAUUUCUUUUCCUAAGUUUUUCUAGGUCACACCCAUUAUUUUCCUGGGCCAUUAGCUCAGGUGGUUAGAGCGCACCCCUGAUAAGGGUGAGGUCCCUGGUUCAAGUCCAGGAUGGCCCAUAUCUCUAUGUUGGGGGUAUAGCUCAGUUGGUAGAGCGCCUGCUUUGCAAGCAGGAUGUCAGCGGUUCGAGUCCGCUUACCUCCACUGAUCACCACCUCUUCCAUAAUCGAUAGAAAGGAAAUGUUUUGAGUUGUGAUCUAAUUCUGAACGAAUCUAGCUUCCUAAUGAAAUUAUUAAGAUGCUGGACUCAUUGAAUUAAUUUCAUUGUUUUCAGAGAACCUUGACAACUGCAUAGAUUAUUUUUUAAAGACAAUAAGCAUCUUUAAUGAUGCAGAUUUAUUAUUUGUGCGAAUGCAUUAAUAACAAUUCUAUUAAGCUGAUGCUUCAA